rnacentral:rRNA from 1 species
UAACUUAGUGGCGGACGGGUGAGUAACGCGUGGAUAACCUGCCGUGUACAGGGGGAUAACACUUAGAAAUAGGUGCUAAUACCGCAUAAGCGCACAACUUCGCAUGAAGGAGUGUGAAAAGCCGAGACGGUACACGAUGGAUCCGCGUCCGAUUAGCCAGUUGGCGGGGUAGAGGCCCACCAAAGCGACGAUCGGUAGCCGGCCUGAGAGGGUGACCGGCCACAUUGGGACUGAGACACGGCCCAAACUCCUACGGAAGGCAGCAG